rnacentral:rRNA from 1 species
AAACCAGCACCUCAAGUGGUCAGGAGGAUUAUUGGGCCUAAAGCAUCCGUAGCCUGUUCUGUAAGUUUUCGGUUAAAUCCACUAGCUCAACUAGUGGGCUGCCGAAAAUACUGUAGAACUAGGGAGUGGGAGAGGUAGACGGUAUUCGGUAGGAAGGGGUAAAAUCCUUUGAUCUAUUGAGGACCACCUGUGGCGAAGGCGGUCUACCAGUACACGUUCGACGGUGAGGGAUGAAAGCUGGGGGAGCAAACCGGAUUAGAAACCCGAGUAGUCC